UUCUAAGUGUUCAACUUUGAUUGGACCGAGCAGGCUGGCCCCUCCGCGCUCGCAGCGUUUCCAUUCUAUUUUCUCCUUGAAUAUUAUCCACUGUCGGCACUUGAUCGGCAUCACCAUCACCAUUCUGAAGCCCACUAAUUAUUUGUGGCCCCUCUCGUAAUCCCCUCUCCUCUCCGCCAUGAAUAUGAUGCCGACGCUGUGUAACUGCGGCUGAGUCUCAAAUCUCAAUAGCUCCGAAAGGCCCAAAGCUGUGCUUGGAUCAAACAAGUCCCUUCGCUUCUCAAGGAAAGCUGAUGGCUGACAACAACACGAAACAACCUUUGUUACCGAUUCUGGUUGAUCCUCCGAAACAGGCGCAGAAGAAGCCCACAUCAAAGUCUAGAAGAUUUCGCCGUUGUAGAAGUGCCCCCUCAGCAGAUAUCUUAUUAAAAUCAAUUGAUGCCGGUGGCUCGUUUCCAGGUUCCAAGUUAAUUUUUGGUCAAUUCCGACCAAGUUUUAGGCAAGUUGCUUUAUUCCUAGUUGUCUACCUGGGAAUAGGUGCUCUCUGCUUUUAUCUUGUGAAGGAUCAACUGAUGGGUAAGAAAACGAAUGGAAUCCUUGACGCCGUGUAUUUCUGCAUCGUGACAAUGACAACAGUUGGCUACGGGGAUCUUGUUCCUAACAGCGACACAGCAAAGCUUUUGGCUUGUGCUUUUGUGUUUGUCGGCAUGGCAAUUGUUGCUCUCCUCUUGAAUAAAGCAGCUGAUUAUAUUGUUGAGAAGCAAGAAGUAUUGCUUUUUAAAGCAUUGCAUAUGCGUCUCAAGGGUGGUGAGGCUCAACAGAUAAGAGAGAUUGAGACAAACAGGAUAAAAUACAAAUUUUACACAACUUUGUUGUUUCUAGUAAUGCUUAUCGUCGCUGGGACUGUAUUUCUUUGGAAAGUUGAGAAGCUAAACCUUGUCGAUGCAUUCUAUUGUGUUUGUGCAACCAUUACAACGUUGGGUUAUGGGGACAAAAGCUUUUCAACUGAAGGAGGUCGUGUUUUUGCUGUGUUUUGGAUAGUGACAAGUACUCUUUGUGUAGCUCAGUUCUUCUUUUGUCUUGCUGAGUUGAAUGCCGAGUAUCGACAGAAAUUGCUAGCCAAAUGGGUGCUUACUCGGAGGAUGACAUACGUUGAUCUUGAAGAGGCAGAUCUAGAUGGCGACCAUGAAGUGGGUGCUGCUGAGUUCAUUAUCUACAAGCUGAAAGAGAUGGGGAAGAUCAGCCAAGAGGAUAUAGCGGAAGUAAUGGAGGAGUUUGAAGAACUUGAUGUUGACCAAUCUGGUACAUUGUCGCUACACGAUAUCACUGUUGCUCAAUCUACGGAGUAAGCCACGAGGGAGAUGGCUUCUCUUUGGUAAAUCUGCUUUUGUGCUGUUACAUUUUUAUAUGUGUAGCUACUAGCUAGUGAAGUUUGUUGCUUUGCAAAUGGAUUUCCAGUUGAUUAUACUUUAUCUUCUUCUUCUUUUUUUUGAGAAUAAGAUAAGCAUACCACCGCUUCAUUCAAAGAGGAGGUGAAUUAAGCAACAAAAAAAAGCGAUGUGCAAGGAGCUUAGUAGUAACGAGAGGCACGUACCUAACCAACAGCAUAUGUGUUGCAAAGACCGUAUCUUCAGCUAGUGACUGAGGCCAAUGCAAGCCUUUUCUAUUAACUUAUGAACUGUCCCAUCCGGUAGGAAGAAAUCCGGAAAUAUUUAUCUGUAUAUAACUUUGAUGUAACUAUAUGUGUCAAGGGAUUUGUAACCCUUUUUACUGUGCUUGCAGGUAUAUAAAUGAGAUAUUUUAUUGUUUUUUUUAAAAAAA